rnacentral:rRNA from 1 species
CGGACCUCAGAUCAGGCAAGACCACCCGCUGAGU